GUCCACACAGUAAACGAUGAAUACUCGCUGUUUGCGAUAUACAGUAAGCGGCCAAGCGAAAGCAUUAAGUAUUCCACCUGGGGAGUACGCCGGCAACGGUGAAACUCAAAGGAAUUGACGGGGGCCCGCACAAGCGGAGGAACAUGUGGUUUAAUUCGAUGAUACGCGAGGAACCUUACCCGGGCUCGAACGGCACCUGGAUCAUCCAGAGAUGGUUGAGUCUUCGGACAGGUGUCGAGGUGCUGCAUGGUUGUCGU
rnacentral:rRNA from 1 species